CAACAAUAUCACUAGUGCAAUUUCAUCGAAUAACGGAGAGCUCCAACAGUUACAAAAACUGUAAGUUAAUUAAGAAACUCACUGGUACAUUUGGUUAACUCUUUCUCUCUAAGAAAAGCUGUCAUUUUUUUUGGCAGUAACUUGGUUGGCAACAACUUUACAAUGAAUGGCUCAAACAACAGGAAAGCCUUAACAUACAUGGUGGGGCUGUAUCAUUGGGACACCCAUUAGGAUGCAGUGGAACUCGUAUCUUGGUCACAUUGUUAGGGGAAGGCAAUGUUGCCAACCAGAGGGAACAUCUAAUUCUUCUCCUUGCCAAUAUUCACAUUCAGAAAGCUAAACAAGCAAUCUGUCUUGAAGAUGGAAGGUGAUCAACAGAGAGCCUCUGAACAGACUAAGAACAUCUUAAGUAAUUUAGUUGCUGCUGUUGACAAUUUGUGGUAUCUAAAAGAUGGAAUACAUACUGCAGUCUUGAAAAAGCUU